rnacentral:lncRNA from 1 species
CACUUAAUUUUUUUCUAGUAUGAAUAACAGUAUAGUGAACAUCCUUCUUCUGUAUUUUUAUUUACUUCCUUAGGACCUAUUUCUAGAGGUAACUUUUGGUUCAAAUCAUAUCAACAUUUGAAGUCCCUUGUGACAUAUUGUCCAUUGUUCUCUACAAAACUUGAGCCAGUUGACACUCAUCAACACUGAGAGUGAGGACUGGAAAUAAAAUUUUAAAGAUAGAAGAACAUGAAUAAGAAAUAUAAGCGAUGAUGUGUAAAUGAGCAAAAGGUGACUCUAGUCCCCAAAACUGGAUGAAAUCUGGAAAGAACACGCUCCUGUUUCCCAGCCCCAAGUGUGGGGGCAGGGCACCUGAAAAGCUGCAGAGAGACAAGAAUGAAUCACUGACAAUACUGCAAUGGAUUUUGUUGUUGUGAAAUACCUGAGCUCAUUCUAAUUUCCUUACCACAAAUUCUAAGAAGUAAAAACCCUGUAACAUUUGAAAUGGGGUGAGGGCAUAACAUUUGCUUAUUAAAUCUCUCUAACAAAGUACAUUGUUUUCAGAACAGUUAGGUAUGAAACAGACAAGGGCACUGAGUGAUAAGUAAGUUACAAAUUCAUACAGGCUAGACUACUAGACAAAAUUUCACCUGGAAGCUAGGAGUAGGAACUCUGCUCAAAGGAAGAUAUGUAGGAUUUGAGAAGGCAGCAUACUAACUGGUAUAACAUUUGGGGGGGGGAUUUGUUGAUACAUAUUUUAAAAAAAUAAAGAGCAUACCCAGUGACCCAUAAUCCCACCUCUAGAAAUUUAUCAUAUAGAAAUAA